rnacentral:rRNA from 1 species
GAAGAAACCAAGCUUAGCAAUAAGCAGCACAUUAAAACGUGAAUGAUAAUAACUCGUGUGAGUGUCGGGUAAAACCGAUAUUCACCGUAGCGAAUCGUAGUGGUUGUAAAAAACCGACGAUGAUUGAAUUCAAAUUUCUGCUCUAUCAACUUUUUCGCAGUGUAGCGGACUGCGAAGGUUAUGACGGAUACGGGGAGUUAGGGCUCGACUCCGGAGAGGGAGCCUUAGAAACGGCUACCACUUCUAAGGAAGGCAGCAGGCGCGCAAUUUACCCAAUUAGCAUAUUCACUAAAUAAGCUAGAGGUAGUGACGACAAAUAGGAAUAGAAAGUGGUUUAAACUAUUUUCUAAUUCAAAUGAGUACAAUGUAAAUACCUUAACAAGGAUCAAUUGGAGGGCAAGUCUGGUGCCAGCAGCCGCGGUAAUUCCAGCUCCAAUAGCGUAUAUUAUAGUUGUU